rnacentral:ncRNA from 2 species
CCAAUAGCGUAUAUUAAAGUUGUUGCAGUUAAAAAGCUCGUAGUUGAAUUUCGAGACCGGUUUACUGGUCGUGCUUUUGUACGUACUGGUAUAAUCGGUUUCUCUUUUCUGACGAACUAUAAUGCCAUUAAUUUGGUGUUAUAGGGAAUCAGGACUGUUACUUUGAAAAAAUUAGAGUGUUUAAAGCAGGCUCACGCUUGAAUACAUUAGCAUGGAAUAACGAAAUAGGACGUUUGAUUUUAUUUUGUUGGUUUCUAGGAUCGACGUAAUGAUUAAUAGGGAUAGUUGGGGGCAUUAGUAUUCAAUUGUCAGAGGUGAAAUUCUUGGAUUUAUUGAAGACUAACUACUGCGAAAGCAUUUGCCAAGGAUGUUUUCAUUAAUCAAGAACGAAAGUUAGGGGAUCGAAGACGAUCAGAUACCGUCGUAGUCUUAACCAUAAACUAUGCCGACUAGGGAUCGGAUGAUGUUAAUAUUAAUGACUCAUUCGGCACCUUACG